GGGCAGGUGGGGCUCGUUAGCCGUGGUAGGCAAUUCACCUAGGAGAGCAAACUCCGAACAACAAACCAGGGCAGGUGAGGUUCGUUAGCCGUGGUAGGCAAUUCACCUAGGAGAGCAAACUCCGAACAAUAAACCCGGGCAGGUUGGGCUCGUGAGCCGUCAUAGGUAAUACACCUAGGAGAGCAAACUCCGAACAGUAAACCCGGGCAGGUGGAGGUCGUUAGCGAAAGCAGUUCAUCUAGGAGAGCAAACUCCGAUUACAAAACCGGGCAGGUGGAGGUCGUUAGCGAAAGCAAUUCAUCUAGGAGAGCAAACUCCGAUUACAAACCCGGGCAGGUGGAGGUCGUUAGCGAAAGCAAUUCAUCUAGGAGAGCAAACUCCGAUUACAAACCCGGGCAGGUGGAGGUCGUUAGCGAAAGCAAUUCAUCUAGGAGAGCAAACUCCGAUUACAAACCCGGGCAGGUGGAGGUCGUUAGCGAAAGCAAUUCAUCUAGGAGAGCAAACUCCGAUUACAAACCCGGACAGGUGGAGGUCGUUAGCGAAAGCAAUUCAUCUAGGAGAGCAAACUCCGAUUACAAACCCGGGCAGGUGGAGGUCGUUAGCGAAAGCAGUUCACCUAGGAGAGCAAACUCCGAUUACAAACCCGGGCAGGUGAGGUUCGUUAGCCG